AUGUUGAGCGUAUCGACAUUGAUCGACUAUGUCUACUCAAACCUCCGGACAUGCACACACAUCGUCAAGCUCGCCACGAACUGCGAGCACUGCAAGCACUGCAAGGCCAAGAGGUUUGAGUCUGAGGCCCCGGGAUUCUACUGUCGCAAUGGGCAAAUCGAGCUGAAGGAACCGGAGCCCAUCCCGAAGCUAAUGAGGCUUUGGUCCAGCACGGAUGCGGAAUUUAGGCAUUUUCGGGAGAACAUACGGUUCUUCAACGGCCACUCUUCGUUCACAACCCUCGGCGUCAACCUUGAUGAAAACUAUGAAGGAAAUAUGCCCUAG
rnacentral:rRNA from 1 species